rnacentral:pre_miRNA from 1 species
AGAUAAUUUGGUCUUCUCGGAAGGCAGCAGCUAAGUACAGAAAGCACAAUUGCAGAUUAACGUUGUAGUUGCCCAGUGCGUCAUAACUCAACCUGACGCAAUCAUAGCUAGCUUGAAGGCCUUGCUGCAGCCUCUGGACUGCCAAGUCCCAC